GGCUUGAUAUGAAAUUAGCCUUGCAAAGUGAUUUGAAUUAUGGCAUAAUUUGAUAUGCAUGUGUUGUCUAUAUAUGGUUGUGAUAGCAGGUGAUUUGGAAUUGUUGCAUGACAUGCUCGUGUGAGGUGUUGUGCGGAUUGACUUGAGUCAAGUCUUGGACUUGGGCUCGUACUUGUCGCUUGUUUGUUCAUGUGCAGGUGUUAGCUUGAGGCAGAACGUGGUCGAUGACGGACUGGAACUAGGUUCAAGGAGGAACUGAGGUCCUAUCGGUCAUGGAUGUCAUGCGAGAUGUUCGGUGGGCUAGAGAACUGAGUUGCAUAUUGCAUGGUGAACUUGGUUUGGUAAAGUGAUGAUUAGAAAAAGAAGGAAGACUAGCUUGGAUGGCUGGUGGCGCCAUCAAAUUUUGACCAGGAUGUGGCAAUUGGCAAGGAGAGGUUCACGCAACUAUUUUUGGCUUGGUGGGGUGGAGCUUGGUCAUGGUGCAGACCAUGUGAACGGUUGUAGAAACUUUGAGGCUUGAAUUAGCAUGCAGGACUGCCUAUAAAAGGUGGACAUCGUUGUCUGUAUGAUUAGAGAAUUGCAGAGGCACACGAGUGCAACCCCAUAGAAAAGAGAGGCAGCGCAUGCUGGAUUAGCCGGUAGUUGUUUUAAGUGCUUCGGGAACUUUUGUAGAGUUCUCUUGUGGAUGCUUGUAAGUUGCAUCUUGUGAAUAUAUUAUGAGAGCAAUGAAGUCCAAUUAUCUCAUAUCAAUGUGAUGUUAAUCGCGUUCUACAUAUCAGCUUCUUGAUUUACAUGUUAAGCCUUUUGUUUCAGAUUCAUAUCUUAUUUGCAAGUUUACAUAUGUUUUUUUGUUGCUAGGGUAUUGUGCUAGUAAUCUGAAAAGUCUCAUGGCAUAAGCUUUAGUUGAUGUCGCAUAAUCAAAAAUAGACCUGGAUCAGUUCUCGUCAUCAUCACAUAUAGUGACAUUGUUUAUUUUAUAUCUCGAGUUCUAGACCUUCGAUUAACAUGAUUCCAGUUGGGUUCAUUUGCAUAUUUUAUAUAGUUUAUUGUAUUAAAUUUUGAGGUCAAUUGUAGCAUAUUUUUGGUCGAGUUUAUUUCUAUUAAAACCACAAUGUUUUGUCUUAAUUAAAAAGGGCUUACUCUGGUUUUGUGUUUAGGGUGAACUUUAGAUUAUAAUUUUGGCUUACGCAAUCAUUCACCCCCCUCUGAUUGCCUAUCCUAGAGUAUAUCAAUCCUACAAGUGGUAUCGGAGCUAGGUUCUUUUUCUAAUUGAUCUUAACCGGUAAUUAGAAAAUAUGGUGACAGAUAGAUAUUCGGCAAAACCUUGUGUUUUCGAUGGUGUUGAUUUUCAGUUCUAGAAAGCAAAGAUGGAGUCCUAUAUUCAGGCACAAGGCUUCACUAUUUGGGAGAAGGUCUACGAGCCUUAUGAAGUGCCUGAGAUUGAUGGUGUGACUACGACAAACAUGGCACAAGUAGAAGCUAACAGCAAGGCGAGGAACUAUAUUAUUCAAGGGCUUGGUAAGAGUGACUUUGAUCGUGUUGUGCAUCUCAAAUCUGCAUAUCAGGUAUGGAAAGCACUGUGUGAUUACCAUGAAGGCUCAUCUACAAUUAAAGAAGUAAGCCAACAUAUGUAUAAAAAUGAUUACAUGCGUUUUGAGAUGAAACCCGGUGAAGCAUUAGAUGAUUUCUUUGCUCGUUUUAAUAAAAUUUUAAGUAAUCUACGUGCAGUUAAUGUUACAUAUACUGAUGCUGAAAAUGCACGUCAAUUACAUGGAGCUCUAGAUAUGUCUAUUUGGGAGAUGAAAGUUACAUCUAUUAGAGAAUCUACUGUGAUGAGUACACUUACUUUAGAUGUGCUUUAUUCUAAGCUGAAAACUCAUGAACCAGAUGUUUUUGCUAGAAAAAAUAUUUCUAAUAAAUCAAUAGCUCUAGCUUCACAAUCAAACCAUUUUAAUGUUGAUAACACUUCCACCAGCUAUGCACUAUCUUCUUUGUCUUCACUAACUGAUGAACAGCUAGAACAACUCCCGGAACAAGAUUUGACACUUAUUUCUACACGCUUCACAAGAGCUUUGCAAAAUGUGAGAUCAAGGAAGAGAGGAUACAGUGGCCCCCAAAAGUGCUUGAGUGUGGAGAUCCAAAUCACAUCCGUCCCAAGUGCCCAAAGUUUUUGGCAAGAGUUGCAAAAGAUAAAGAUGACGAAUAAGAUGAAAUCGAAAGAACAAAGAAGCACACAAUAAGAAGCAAUAAGAAGAAGGGCUAUUUGAAUCGCAAGGUGGUGCAUCGUGUUCUUUCUGCUCUUGAGCAAGUUAACAUAAGUUAAUUCCUGAUGAUGAUUCUUGCAAAUCAUGUGAUAUAGUGUAUACUGACUUACUUCAUUAACGGACAUGCAUGCUUUGACUUUGGAACAACUUAAAGUUGUAAAGGAUAAAAAUGAGAAACAUGUUUGUGCUACUGUUGAACCAACUUAUUGUGAUAAAUGUGAAUUGCUUAAACUAAAACUGAAAGAUGCUGAUGUUAAAAUAACACAAAUUAAAGAAAACUUUGAUAUUCAUGAGGUUCAUUCAUGCUCUAAUUGUGGUAAAAAUGAUAAAACUAAAAAGGAAGCAUGUGAAAAUUGUGCUACCCUUUUGAAACAUAUUGAUUACUUGCAAGGAAACAUGGGAACAAAAAUGUUGAAUCAAAUUUUGGAACAAAAGACUAGCACACACAAAACAGGCUUAGGUUUUGAUCCUUAUGCUCAUUCUAAGUCUCAUGCACCAAUUAUUUUCAAAUCUCUUGGUAAUGGUAAGUUUGAAAUAGCUAAUGAAACUAAAAAGACAGUUUUUAAAUCUGCUGGUACUAUGUCAUCUUCUAAUCAAGAAAAUGUUAAUGUCGCUUCUACUAAUUAUAAAAAAUAUAAAGUUAAAUAUACUUGCAGUUAUUGUGGUAGAGAGGGUCACAUUGUGCAAUUUUGUUUUAGACUAGCCAAACAACAAAAGAAAGAAAAAGCUAAGGCUAGAUCUUUUUUUGAGAAAGACUUAUUCUUUUGUGACCAGAAAUAUGGGUGGUACUCAAUCUAAAAUUUUAUGUAAGAACACUCGUUCUGUGCCUACAUUUGCUAGUAGUCGUGUGUCUCAGUACUGGAUUCCUAAAUGUUUAAUUUCUAACCCCAGUACUGAGGCCUCGACAUCUUGUGUUUCUAUGUAGGCUUCUCGAGCAAGGAAGGAGAACAUAUGGUUAGUGGACUCUGGAUGCUCACGUCAUAUGACUGGUGAUAAAGGUUGGUUCUCCUCCCUCUCCCAUGCAUCUCAAACAGAAAGUGUCACGUUUGGAGAUGCUACUUCUACACCUGUCAUGGCAAAAGGUAUUGUGAAGGUAAAUGACAAGUUUAUGUUUAAAGAUGUGGCUCUCGUUGAGAACUUGAAAUUCAAUUUGCUCUCUGUCUCACAAAUGAUUGAUGAAGAUCUUGAAGUAUGUUUUAAAAAAGGUGAAUGUAAAGUGUUAGAUUCUUCAGGUGAUAUAGUUUUUAAAAUUUCAAGAUUUGGAAGAGUUUUCAAAGCAGAUUUUGAUGACGUACAUGGUGCUAAAUUUAUAUGUCUAGUUGCCAAUGUUUCAAAAGGCUUAUUCUUUUGGCAUCGUAGACUUGGGCAUGUUGGUUUUGAUCAUCUCACGCGUGUUAGUGGUAUGGAUCUUAUACGUGGUUUACCUAAACUUAAAAAUGAAAGCGAUGUAGUGUGCUCUUCUUGUAGACAUGGUAAGAUGUGUGCAGGUUCACAUCCUCCACUUACUAUGGUCAUGACAAAUGCACCUAGGCAGCUUCUACACCUUGAUACAGUUGGACCAUCGAGAGUUCAGUCUUUUGGUGGUAAGUGGUAUGUACUUGUGAUUGUGGAUGAUUUCUCUAGAUACUCCUGGGUUUACUUUAUGGCAUCUAAAGAUGAGGCUUUUGGGCAUUUUAGAAGUCUUGUUCUUAGAUUAUCUAUUGAUCACCCAGGAUCUCUUAGAGCUAUAAGAACUGAUAAUGGAACUGAAUUUAAAAAUUCUUCAUUUGAUCAUUUUUGCACUGAAAAAGGUAUUGAUCAUCAGUUUUCAUCACCAUAUGUUCCACAACAAAAUGGUGUAGUUGAAAGGAAAAAUAGAACUUUGGUUGAGAUGGCUAGAACAAUGCUAGAUGAAUAUGAAACUCCAAGAAAAUUCUGGGCUGAAGCUUUGUCUACUGCAUGCUAUAUUUCAAACCGUGUGUUUUUGAGAUCCAAACUUGGUGAAACUGCAAAUGAGCUUCGUUUUGGACAUAGGCCAAGUGUAUCACACCUUAGAGUUUUUGGGUGCAAAUGCUUUGUGUUAAAAUUUGGAAACUUAGACAAAUUUGAAGCUAGAUCAACAGAUGGCAUUUUUCUUGGUUACCCCACUAAUUCACGUGGCUAUCGUGUGCUUGUUUUGGCAACUAACAAAGUGACAGAAACGUGUGAAGUUACUUUUGAUGAGACUAGUCCUGGCACUAGUCUAAGUGAUGCAGGUACAAGUGCAUAUGUUCAGGGGGAGAGCAUAUUUAUUGAUGAAGAAGAAGAUGAGGAUGACGAAGAUGAGGUCACAAUUCAUACUAUUUCUCCGCCUCAAGUUCCUACUACACCUUCUACUACUACAGCAACAAUUGGACAUCCACAAGCUACUGCUUCAUCUACACAUGUCGAAAAUGAACAAGAAGAUGCUCCAGAAAUUUCAGCCCCUCGUCACAUUCAAAGGAGACAUCCACCUGAGCAAAUGAUUGGAGAUUUAAAUGAAUGAGUAACAAGGUCUAGGUUUGUUGAUACUGAAUCAUAUGCUCAUUCUGCUUUUGUUGCUUCUUUUGAGCCCAAAGAUGUAUCUCAUGCAUUAACUGACGAAUCUUGGAUCAAUGCCAUGCAUGAAGAAUUAGAGAAUUUUGAACGAAAUAAAGUUUGGAACCUUGUUCCACGUCCACCUGAUCACACUAUAAUUGGAACAAAAUGGGUAUUUAAAAAUAAACAAAGAGAGGAUGUGUUGUUGUUAGAAACAAAGCUAGGUUGGUUGCUCAAGGAUUUAAACAAAUAGAAGGGUUAGAUUUUGAUGAAACAUUUGCUCCUAUUGCUAGAUUGGAAGCCAUUUGAAUUUUGUUAGCCUUUGCUGCAUCUAAAGGUUUUAAAUUGUAUCAAAUGGAUGUAAAAAGGGCUUUUCUAAAUGGCUACAUAGAUGAGGAGGUUUAUGUUAAGCAACCACCUGGCUUUGAAAAUUCAAAACUUCCUAAUCAUGUUUUAAACUAUCAAAAGCUUUGUAUGGUUUGAAACAAGCCCCAAGAGCAUGGUAUGAUAGGUUGAAGAAAUUUUUAAUAGAAAAGGGAUUUUCAAUGGGAAAGGUUGAUAAAACUCUGUUUGUACUUAAGCAAGGCAAUGAUCAAUUAUUCAUUCAGAUUUAUGUUGAUGAUAUCAUCUUUGGGUGUGCAUCUCAUGCUUUAGUGACUAAGUUUUCAGAAAUGAUGAGUAAAGAAUUUGAGAUGAGUAUGAUGGGGGAGUUGACUUACUUCUUGGGACAACAAGUAAAACAAACAAAUGAAGGCAUUUUUGUUCAUCAAAGUAAGUAUACAAGGGAUCUUCUACACCGUUUUGGGAUGGAAAACUGUAAGCCUAUUAUGACGCCUAUGGGAACUGCUACUUCACUUGAUCUUGAUGAAGAUGGUGAGCCAGUUGACCAAAAGGAGUACAGGAGCAUGAUUGGUUCGCUUUUAUAUCUUACUGCUUCGAGGCCGGACAUACAAUUUUCUGUGUGUUUAUGUGCUCGUUUUCAAGCUUCUCCACGUGCUUCACAUCUACAAGCUGUCAAACGCAUUCUCAGGUAUCUAUGUGGUACUCUAAACUUUGGCAUAUGGCUUUCUGCUUCCUCAUAUAUUAGCUUAAGAUGUUUUUCUGAUGCUGAUUUUGGAGGUUGUAGAAUUAAUAGAAAAAGUACAUCUGGCUCAUGCCAUUUUUUGGGAAAUUCUCUUAUUACAUGGUCAUCUAGAAAACAAUCUUCUGUUGCACAAUCUACCGCUGAGUCUGAAUAUGUAGCUGCUGCUUGUUGUAGUUCACAAAUUCUAUGGAUAGUAGCUACACUUAAAGAUUAUGGGAUAAAUUUGAAUAAGGUUCCCCUUUUCUGUGAUAAUACUAGUGCUAUAUGUAUUGCUAAGAACACAGUGCAACAUUCAAGAACUAAGCAUAUCGAUAUAAGAUUUCACUUUCUUCGAGAUCAUGUUGAGAAAGGAACCGUUGAGCUUCAUCGUAUAGAUACUGAACAUCAGUUGACAGAUAUUUUCACAAAACCUUUGGAUUCUUCUCGUUUUGCUUUUCUACGGGGAGAACUCGGGGUGUUACAUCCAUCUGGAUUGUUUUGAGGGCGAGUCUAUAUUCUCGUACAUAGUCAAUUUUGCAUUCUCUAUAUGGUACUCUUUUUCUUUUUUUUUUUGUGGUUUCCAAGAAUUUGUUUUGAACCUCCUAAACUGCUUCUAGUCUAGAGUUUGAGCUGAAUUCUAUCUUUAGUUCUCAUCAUGUAUGAUAGAACAUCCUUGAGCUUCAUGACUAUAACUGUUAGAAUAAAACUAUGCUAUCUUUGGUAUGUUCUGUGCGUACAUCAUAGUACUUCCUGCUUAGGCUCCUUUUGAUCACAUUGAUACAUGUUAUAAGAUGAGCCUAUUUUCUAACAUGUGAACUUGGCUGAUAACUGUUGAGACUUGAAAAUGUUCACCAUUUGAGAUGGCAACUAGCAUGUGUAGGAUGUGUUGAGAUCCAUGUUGCUUUCAUAUGUAUGCUAGGCUGCUAUGUCUCAUGUUUCUUGAGUCAUGCACUUGACUUGGACAACUUGAUAAUCUUGUGCUAAAACUUGAAAUCCAAGCUAAGUAAUCAUGAAAGAUCGAGUUGGGUCUUUACUGUCCCACGUCAAGGUAUCAAGACAGCUUCCCACUUGCACUAAGGGAUGAACUUGAGCCUUGUAGUGUAGUCCACAACCACUCGUGAUGAGACGGCUUCCCAUUGCACUAAGGCAUGAACUUGGCGUGGUUGAAAAGAAAAGAAAAAUUAUAUUUUGGCAGACAGUAUGGAUAACCACUCGCAUACACAUGUUCUAACUAAUACUAGUGAACCGCUGCAAACUCUGAUAAAACUUUGAAAACCACAAGUAUUAAGUGAGUCUUUGAGACAUGAUGUAUGACCGUUAUAUGGGGUAGUUUACUUUUGUAUGCAUGUGUUAGCACUAGUUUGAUCUCCUAGUUAUACUUGUUAUGUGCUACAAUCACUGGUGAACAUCUCUUUGAAUUACUUAAAACUAAAUCAAAAUGCUUAAGUAUCAUAUUUUUUAGUUGAUCAAUUUGAGCAUUUGCUAUGGCUUGUACUUGUUGCUACGUACAUGACAGCACCAACUAGAGCAUCUUUUUACUCUGACUGUUGUACUCUUGAAGCUUUGCAUUUUCCUCAUAUCAUAACAUUUGUUGAGGGGGAGUUGUCAUUUUUAGUGUCGUGUUCAGCCUUCUUUUGCUGUCUUUUAUGUUCUUGAUGAAUCCAUUGUCAAAGGGGGAGAAAGAGUUUUACCCAUUGCAUGUUCACAUGAGUGUUUUUUGAGAGAUAAGAAAGGUGGAGAUAAUUUAAAAUCAUUUUUUCUUUUUGGAUCUUUUGAUAUGAUCUUUUUAUUUUUAUUUUUAUUUUUUCACUUUGCCAUUGAUUUAAAAAAAAUUUGGUGGAUGUAAAUGCCAAUGUUCAAUUAUUUAAAUGGUGGUGCCAAUGUUUUCAUCAAGGGGGAGAUUGUGAGAUCAUGUAAUGAAAAAUUGGCUUGAUAUGAAAUUGGCAUUGCAAAGUGAUUUGAAUUAUGGCAUAAUUUGAUAUGCAUGUGUUGUCUAUAUAUGGUUGUGAUAGCAGGUGAUUUGGAAUUAUUGCAUGACAUGCUCGUGUGAGGUGUUGUGCGGAUUGACUUGAGUCAAGUCUUGGACUUGGGCUCGUACUUGUCGCUUGUUUGUUCAUGUGUAGGUGUUAGCUUGAGGCAGAACGUGGUCGAUGACGGACUGGAACUAGGUUCAAGGAGGAACUGAGGUUUCGAGACUAAGUUCAGGGAGGAACUGAGGUCCUAUCGGUCAUGGAUGUCAUGCGAGAUGUUCGGUGGGCUAGAGAACUGAGUUGCAUGUUGCAUGGUGAACUUGGUCUGGUCAAGUGAUGAUUAGAAAAAGAAGGAAGACUAGCUCGGAUGGCUGGUGGGGCCAUCAAAUUUUGACCAGGAUGUGGCAAUUGGCAAGGAGAGGUUCACGCAACUAUUUUUGGCUUGGUGGCGUGGAGCUUGGUCAUGGUGCAGACCAUGUGAACGGUUGUAGUAACUUUGAGGCUCGAAUCAGCAUGCAGGACUGCCUAUGAAAGGUGGACAUCGUUGUCUGUAUGAUUAGAGAAUUGCAGAGGCACACGAGUGCAACCCAUAGAAAAGAGAGGCAGCGCAUGCUGGAUUAGCCGGUAGUUGUUUUAAGUGCUUCGGGAACUUUUGUAGAGUUCUCUUGUGGAUGCUUAUAAGUUGCAUCUUGUGAACAUAUUAUGAGACCAAUGAAGUCCAAUUAUCUCAUAUCAAUGUGAUGUUAAUCGCGUUCUACAUAUCAGCUUCUUGAUUUACAUGUCAAGCCUUUUGUUUCAGAUUCAUAUCUUGUUUGCAAGUUUACAUAUGUUUUUUUUGUUGCUAGGGUAUUGUGCUAGUAAUCUGAAAAGUCUCAUGGCAUAAGCUUUAAUUGAUGUCGCAUAAUCAAAAAUAGAACUGGAUCAGUUCUCGUCAUUAUCACACAGAGUGACAUUGUUUAUUUUAUAUCUCGAGUUCUAGACCUUUGAUUAACAUGAUUCCAGUUGGGUUCAUUUGCAUAUUUUAUAUAGUUUAUUGUAUUAAAUUUUGAGGUCAAUUGGAGCAUAUUUUUGGUCGAGUUUAUUUCUAUUAAAACCACAAUGUUCUGUCUUAAUUAAAAAGGGCUUACUUUGGUUUUGUGUUUAGGGUGAACUUUAGAUUAUAAUUUUGGCUUACGCAAUCAUGCACCCCCCCUCUGAUUGCCUAUCCUAGAGUAUAUCGAUCCUACAUAAAUAUCUUUGCUUAGUUGCUAAAUACAUAAAUAAAUAAAUAAAGUUUGCUAUGAACCCUUAUGAUAAGCUCUCACAUGGAAAUGAUGAAUAGUUGCUCUGCCUAGUUCUCAAAAUUGAAAUCUCUCUCGAGUUUAGGUAUGACUGUUAUGAAUUAAGAUUUGCUCUAAACCUAAACUUGUGGGAAGAGUACUUGAUCUAAAGUCCAAGUCGUUAACGGAUACGAUAUGGGAAGGUUGAGCUGUUGUUUAUCUGUUCCUAGAGAUGCUAGAAUUCUGGAGAAUUUUAUCUUUGAAAAUCUUUAAAAUAUUGCAUGAUGAGUUCCUGUAUGAUGAGAGUUUAAAAUCCUACCAUAGCCAUAUAUACAUUCUUAUUAGACUAUGAACCAUACAUUUACUUUUUACUGCUUAUGAGCAUUGAGUGUGGUCAAGCUGUGUAGACCCUUAGGAGCUUGUCAUGCGGUUAAAAUCAAGAUUCACUUGCACGUUCACUCAUACAUGCUGCUUCUACUCCAGAAGCACGCAUCCACAUACAUCCACUCAUUUCCAUCUCCAGAUUCACCCAAAAGUAUUCUACUCCUAUCCAGAAGAGAAUAGCCAAAAACAUUAUCCUAUUUCUAUUUUUCCCUGUGAAAUAAAUGCUCGAGUUACCUUGGUUACUACCACUUGCUAUAUUAUUUCAGGAGAUGAGUGCUCUAAAAAAAGAAAAAAAGUGAAUACGAGGAAAUAAAAAGGGGCAAGUUCCCGGAACCUCGAAGAAAAGAAAAAGUGAGACGAGAGGUAAAAAUAGACAAGUGUCCGAUAGUAGAAUUAGGGGUACAAGAUAACCACCUGAGAGAAAAGAAAAAGAAAUUAUAGAGCAUCUCAUUCUCCUCAAAAAGCUUCAAAGUGCAAGAAAGGUAUGUAUCCCCUCAAAAGAGCAAAAGUAGAAUUAGACUUUUGCCAGUGUUUUCACCAUUAUCACCAUCAUCACCAUACACCAUUCAUUCGCCACACAUGCAUAUCUUGAUUUGACUUAUUGACUUGUUUCUCUGGAUCCAUGGUUUGACUAUGCAAUAAAUGUCUUGUAAGUAUGUAUUAGCUAUCUCCCACCUAUGAGCUCUAGAUAUCAAAACUUUAUUAGAGUAGGGUAUGAGAGAAUGAAAUGUCACUAUGCCUCAUAUCAAAAAUACCACAUACUUUGAGAGAAGGCAUAUACCAUUACUUCCUUGGUAAGGAUCCAGAAAUACCACAAAAGAGAGAAUUGAGAGAGUCAUACAAGGAAUCUCUAAGUUUUAUUUUGAAAAUCUACAAAAACUCCAGAGCUAUAGUUGAUCAAAGAACAAGAGACAUGGCGCUUGACUUAACCGUUGUAUCUUUUAAUUGCUCAAGACACAAGUGACGGUUGCAAGCCCCAUGGUGGAAGGAAAAAUGAGUAAGUUUAAAUCUUAACAAUUUACCCUAACCCAGAGAUGAGAUCUUGUUUGAACGCAUGUGUACCUUUAAUGCAUAAAACCACUACAGAAACUCUUGAGUCCAUCCUUGCUCAGGGACGAGCAAGAGGUAAGCUUGGGGGAGUUGUUGACAGUCCUUAAGUACCAAAUAUAAUCAAGUAAAUAAAGAAAAGGAUCCAAAUGCAACCAACACCCGGACUUAGGGUUUCAUCUGAUAGAAUUCCACGAGUUUUGGUGUUUGUCUAUUUCUGCAGGGGGUUAUCAGGAAAUAUGGAGGAAAGGCCC
rnacentral:lncRNA from 1 species